GGAGAUUUAGCUCAGUGGUAGAGUGUUGCCUAGGAAGCGCAAGGCCCUGGGUUCAGUCCCCAGCUCCG
rnacentral:tRNA from 1 species